GAGGGGGGAUGGGUGGCGUGACGAUAACAAGUAGUUAGCCGGCCGGUUGUUUCAUGUCCGUGUCCGAAACCAUUACAAGGAAAGGAAUCAAGCGCGGUAUAUCAUCUGUUUCCUACCAAUCUCCUCAUCUUUUUCUUAGCGCAGAGAUGCAAGUCACUACCUUCAAACUUACCUUGAUCUGCCGUGGUGCAGAUAUGAGGGCGUGAGGUAGGAGUGUGUGAGCCAAAGGAGCAGCAACACAUUCGAAGAGACCCCGAGGUAAAGUUGCAUCAGCCACAGAAACACCCGGCCUACUUGUUUCUGAGCGGCGGGCGAGAGCGGUGCGUUGUGGUGCGUGGGUGGCGUCGCGGUGAGUGAAGUGAUGUGUGUGUUAAUUUAUCGUUCCCCUCCUGCGUAUUCUUCGCGGUGGAUUUGGUGAGUACCCGUAUCACAGGUCUCAUCGAGGGACAGACAGCGCUGGAGCAUCCCUUCGAGAAAAGUAAAGUGAAGAUACUGUUUCCUAGGCGUUAGGGCGAUAGGCUGAGCGGCUAAUCUUUAUUGCCUUUCAGGUACAAACUAAAUUUCUUUUUCAGGUACAUGCUAAUGAAUGAUCUAGUCUUUCCCAGAACAGUAAUGCCCCUGUUAGUGUACUGCGACGGCGACCAGAUGGAGCCUCAUGCCGGUGGAGGAGGACGGUGCUGGUGGCGGGCGUGCUGCUUUCAUUUGAUGGGCGAUGUAUUCACUCGACGGUGCUGGUGGGUGUCAUGAAGAAAUUAUCGCAAAGACGCUGGAUCAAAAUUACACUAGAGUCGCACAGCUGUAAAAGAAGAAAUUCGGAUGGAAGUCGGGAAAUCUCACGGCGUUGUGACAUUGGGAAAGGUGAGGAAAUGGUUCUGUCUUGCCUCUCAGGUAAAACGAGCGUCCUUUUCUUAAAGUGAAGCAGGUAAGACUUUUUUUUUGAGGAACUAAACAUUUUUCUUCCACUUCAAACUAAUCUCUCUUAAUCUCUAUUGCAGGUCAAACUGAUCUAUCUCUCUCUUGCAGGUCAAACUGAUCUAUCUCUCUUGCAGGUCAAACUAAACUCUCCCUUGCAGGUCAAACUAAUCUCUCUCUCUUGCAGGUCAAACUAAUCUCUCUUACAGGUCAAACUAAUCUCUCUCUCUUGCAGGUCAAACUAAUCUCUCUCUCUUGCAGGUCAAACUAAUCUCUCUCUCUUGCAGGUCAAACUAAUCUCUCUCUCUUGCAGGUCAAACUAAACUCUCUCUUGCAGGUCAAACUAAACUCUCUCUUGCAGGUCAAACUAAACUCUCUCUUGCAGGUCAAACUAAACUCUCUCUUGCAGGUCAAACUAAACUCUCUCUUGCAGGUCAAACUAAUCUCUUACAGGUCAAACUAAUCUCUCUCUCUUGCAGGUCAAACUAAACUCUCUCUUGCAGGUCAAACUAAACUCUCUCUUGCAGGUCAAACUAAACUCUCUCUUGCAGGUCAAACUAAACUCACUCUCUUGCAGGUCAAACUAAACUCACUCUCUUGCAGGUCAAACUAAACUCUCUCACUUGCAGGUUAAACUAAUCUCUCUCUUGCAGGUCAAACUAAACUCUCUCACUUGCAGGUUAAACUAAACUCUCUCUUGCAGGUCAAACUAAACUCACUCUCUUGCAGGUCAAACUAAUCUCUCUCACUUGCAGAUUAAACUAAUCUCUCUCUUGCAGGUCAAACUAAACUCUCUCUCUUGCAGGUUAAACUAAUUUAUCUCUCUUGCAGGACAAACUAAUCUAUCUCUUGCAGGACAAAUUAAUCUGUCUGUCUCUUGCAGGACAAACUAAUCUAUCUCUCCCUUGCAGGACAAACUAAUCUCUCUCUCUCUUGCAGGACAAACUAAUCUCUCUCUUGCAGGGCAAACUAAUCUCUCUCUCUCUUGCAGGACAAACUAAUCUAUCUCUCUCUUGCAGGACAAACUAAUCUAUCUCUCUCUUGCAGGACAAACUAAUCUAUCUCUCUCUUGCAGGACAAACUAAUCUAUCUCUCUUGCAGGACAAACUAACUAAUCUAUCUCUCUCUUGCAGGACAAACUAAUCUAUUUCUCUCUUGCAGGACAAACUAAUCUAUCUCUCUCUUGCAGGACAAACUAAUCUAUUUCUCUCUUGCAGGACAAACUAACCUAUUUAUUUCUUGCAGGUCAAACUAAUUGAUAUUUUUAUCACUACUUUUAAAGUUUCUUCUCUCUACUCUAAUCCUAUUACCUAAGGCGUUACCAGGCAACAAUGAGCAGCUUGCCACUGUGAUACCCCCUCCUUGAGAGGAUAAUACUCACUUCGGUGAGGGGGACCUGGAGACACACACACCCAUACACAUGUACAUGUAAAGACACUCACUCUCUCUUUCUCUUCUACAAUUUUCAUCCAUACACAUGUGCAUAAAAUGAAACUCGCUCGUUCGCCAUCUUCUCUUGUCUAUUUUCCUCUUUUCUUUCUCUUUAUUUUCCUCUUUCUAGAUCUAUCUUUUAUCUUUUUUCUCAAUCUUUCUCUUUAUCUUAAUCUUUCUCUUCUCUAUUCAUACUUCUAUCUUCUGUCUCAUUAGUGUUCUGGAUUUAAUAUCCUGUCUUCUUAUUACAGUAAGAUCAGCAGCAGUUUAUGAAGAUGCAGCUGGGGAAGAGUAAGUGGGCUGCCAGCGGGCGAGAGAAGCAACGCUGUUAGUGAGGAUAGUGAAGGAGAUGGCGAAUGAAGAUUGUGCUGCAGUUGCGUCUUAUGAACUAUGUAAUGUUAGGUUUUGUCAUUAUUGUAAGUCAUAACGCUUAAAAAUAAAAUGUGUAACUGAU